rnacentral:rRNA from 1 species
GACGAACGCUGGCGGCGUGCCUAAUACAUGCAAGUCGAACGCAGUGGGGACGGGUGAGUAACACAUGGGUAACCUCCCAUCAGAGGGGAAAACACUUGGAAACAGGUGUUAAACCGAUACAGAUGGCUGGACUCGCGGUGCAUUAGCUAGGUGGUGAGGUAACGGCUCAACAAGGCCACGAUGCAUAGCCGACCUGAGAGGGUGAUCGGCACCACUGUGACUGAGACACGGCCCAGACUCCUACGGGUGGCAGCAGUAGGGAAUCUUCGGCAAUGGACGAAAGUCUGACCGAGCAACGCCGCGUGAGUGAAGAAGGUUUUCGGAUCCUAAUACUCUGUUGUUAGAGAAGCGGUAGCUAACCAGAAAGCCACGGCUAACUACGUGCCAGCAGCCGCGGUAAUUC